GGCCUCGUAGCUGUUCAGCUGGUAGAGCGUGUGCUAUACAAAAGUGUAGGCGACAUCCAUGCGUGGGUUCGAAUCCCACCGACGCUA
rnacentral:tRNA from 1 species